GAUGAAGAACGUAGCGAAAUGCGAUAAGUAAUGUGAAUUGCAGAAUUCAGCGAAUCAUCGAAUCUUUGAACGCACAUUGCGCCCGCCAGUAUUCUGGCGGGCAUGCCUGUUCGAGCGUCAUUUCAACCAUCAAGCCCCAGGCUUGUGUUGGGGACCUGCGGCUGCCGCAGGCCCUGAAAACCAGUGGCGGGCUCGCUGUCACACCGGGCGUAGUAGAUUUUAUCUCGCUCAGGGCGUGCUGCGGGUCCCGGCCGUUAAAAGCCUUUUUUUACCCAAGGUUGACCUCGGAUCAGGUAGGAAGACCCGCUGAACUUAAGCAUAUCAAUAAGCGGAGGA
rnacentral:misc_RNA from 1 species